rnacentral:rRNA from 1 species
GAUGAACGCUGGCGGCGUGCCUAAUACAUGCAAGUCGAGCGAACGGACGAGAAGCUUGCUUUUCUGAUGUUAGCGGCGGACGGGUGAGUAACACGUGGAUAACCUACCUAUAAGACUGGGAUAACUUCGGGAAACCGGAGCUAAUACCGGAUAAUAUUUUGAACCGCAUGGUUCAAAAGUGAAAGACGGUCUUGCUGUCACUUAUAGAUGGAUCCGCGCUGCAUUAGCUAGUUGGUAAGGUAACGGCUUACCAAGGCAACGAUGCAUAGCCGACCUGAGAGGGUGAUCGGCCACACUGGAACUGAGACACGGUCCAGACUCCUACGGGAGGCAGCAGUAGGGAAUCUUCCGCAAUGGGCCAAAGCCUGACGGAGCAACGCCGCGUGAGUGAUGAAGGUCUUCGGAUCGUAAAACUCUGUUAUUAGGGAAGAACAUAUGUGUAAGUAACUGUGCACAUCUUGACGGUACCUAAUCAGAAAGCCACGGCUAACUACGUG